rnacentral:lncRNA from 1 species
ACCAACCCUGUGAACGGGUUUAACAACUUGUUAUUUUAAAUCUUAACAGUCAUGUUAGGUAAGUCGGAAGUUUGUGGAGCAAGUCUUUGUAAACAAAAAGAGCUUAAUGAUGUGAUCUACAUGACUUCAAAGAGGUCCAGCCAACCUUUUGGUAAAGAAUACAGUGAUGAGUAAUUAAACUUUCUCCUGUGAUAAAACAAAGGGAGCUAUAAAAAAACCGGCAUCCAGGGGUUUAGGAGUAGAGGCAGCUGCACUUUGAUAAAUAGUAUCACCAUAACAACAGGUAGAAAGGUUGAUAAAUAGUAUCACCAUAACAACAGGUAGAAAGGUUAAUAAAUAGUAUCACCAUAACAACAGGGAGAAAGGUUGAUAAAUAGUAUUACCAUAACAACAGGUAGAAAGGUUGAUAAAUAGUAUCACCAUAACAACAACAGGUAGAAAGGUUGAUAAAUAGUAUCACCAUAACAACAGGUAGAAAGGUUGAUAAAUAGUAUCACCAUAACAACAGGUAGAAAGGUUGAUAAAUAGUAUCACCAUAACAACAUGUAGAAUGGUUGAUAAAUAGUAUCACCAUAACAACAGGUAGAAAGGUUGAUAAAUAGUAUCACCAUAACAACAGGUAGAAAGGUUGAUAAAUAAUAUCACCAUAACAACAGGUAGAAAGGUUGACUGCACAAUCUGCUUCCUGUUGACUAGGGAGACAAGAUCUGUUUCCUGUUGACUGGAGAGAGACAAGAUCUGUUUCCUGUUGACUAGAGAGAGACAAGAUCUGUUUCCUGUUGACUAGAGAGAGACAAGAUCUGUUUCUGUAUAAAAAAAAAGCCCACUUUAAAUCUUAGUUUCUUAUUAACAAGCACAGUUGUAUGUUUUUUAAACAAUAAAUCACUGUCAAUCCAAGUACCAAGGUAUUUGUAUGCAGGGACUCGUUUGAUUCUAGAACCAUCUGAUGAGUAAAGAUGUCAUCCGUCUGAGACAAUCUUACCAGAACUUGAAAACAACAUGUAAGUAGUUUUGCCCGUAUUAAAGCACCAGUUUUAAAUCAGUAAGGACUUCCUGCACAACUGCUAAAUCAGACUGUAGCCUUGUCUCAGCCAGGUCAGCAGGGCGGGUAAUGGGACUGUAGUAUUGUCACAGCCAGGUCAGCAGGGCGGGUAAUGGGACUGUAGCCUUGUCACAGCCAGGUCAGCAGGGCGGGUAAUGGGACUGUAGCCUUGUCUCAGCCAGGUCAGCAGGGCGGGUAAUGGGACUGUAGUAUUGUCUCAGCCAGGUCAGCAGGGCGGGUAAUGGGACUGUAGUCUUGUCUCAGCCAGGUCAGCAGGGCGGGUAAUGGGACUGUAGUAUUGUCACAGCCAGGUCAGCAGGGCGGGUAAUGGGACUGUAGCCUUGUCACAGCCAGGUCAGCAGGGCGGGUAAUGGGACUGUAGCCUUGUCUCAGCCAGGUCAGCAGGGCGGGUAAUGGGACUGUAGUCUUGUCUCAGCCAGGUCAGCAGGGCGGGUAAUGGGACUGUAGUAUUGUCUCAGCCAGGUCAGCAGGGCGGGUAAUGGGACUGUAGUCUUGUCUCAGCCAGGUCAGCAGGGCGGGUAAUGGGACUGUAGCCUUGUCUCAGCCAGGUCAGCAGGGCGGGUAAUGGGACUGUAGUAUUGUCUCAGCCAGGUCAGCAGGGCGGGUAAUGGGACUGUAGUCUUGUCUCAGCCAGGUCAGCAGUCUGCUGUAAUUACGUACAUGAAAGUAUCAGUUGUGUAUACAGUUGAAGUCGGAAGUUUACAUUCACUUAGCUAGAGUCAUUAAAACUCGUUUUUCAACCACUCUACAAAUUUCUUGUUAACAAACUAUAGUUUUGGCACGUCGGUUAGGACAUUUACUUUGUGCAUGACACAAGUCAUUUUUCCUUCAAUUGUUUACAGACAGAUUAUUUCACGUAUAAUUCACUGUAUCACAAUUCCAGUGGGUCAGAAGUUUACAUACACUAAGUUGACUGUGCCUUUAAACAGCCUGGAAAAUUCCAG